rnacentral:rRNA from 1 species
GACGAACGCUGGCGGCGUGCCUAAUACAUGCAAGUCGAACGGUUUAGUUCCAAGAGGCGUGCCUGUUGGGACUAGGCAGUGGCGGACGGGUGAGUAACACGUAGGCAACCUACCUGUCAAACCGGGAUAACCUCGGGAAACCGAAGCUAAACCCGGAUAAGCUCCUUUUUCGCAUGAAGGGGGAGUGAAAAGGUGCGACCUGAUGACAGAUGGGCCUGCGGCGCAUUAGCUAGUAGGUAGGGUAACGGCCUACCUAGGCGAUGAUGCGUAGCCGACCUGAGAGGGCGUACGGCCACACUGGGACUGAGAUACGGCCCAGACUCCUACGGGAGGCAGCAGUAGGGAAUCUUCGGCAAUGGGCGAAAGCCUGACCGGGCAACGCCGCGUGAGUGAGGAAGGCCUUCGGGUUGUAAAACUCUGUUGUUUGGGAAGAAGGGAAAGGGUAGGACCCUUUGGUGACGGUACCAAACGAGAAAGCCCCGGCUAACUACGUGCCAGCAGCCGCCGUAA